rnacentral:lncRNA from 1 species
GAAAGCUUGCUGGGGCUGUUUGAAGAAUAUACAUGAGAAUAGAGAAAAAUCCUGGGGCUGGGUUCAGCCCUAAGGUCUGGCAGAAGAGAUACUUCACUAGUGUUUUUCAAAAGAGAGCUCAGUACCACUUUGCCUUACACCUCCCUGUGUAAUGCCGAGGAGUCAGUUUAUCCGGUUACAUACAGCUCACACUGGCACAAAGCCCUUUGGGACUCCUAGUUGUAAUUACCUGGGAUUCAGUGAUUAAUGAUCUGGCACCAUACAACUUAUGGCUCUUCUCCAAAGUCAAAAUGAUCAUGAAAGGUAAACAUGUUGAAGUGAUUCAGGACAUCAGGGCAGCCGUGGUAGUGUAACUAAAGACACUCAAGAAGGAAGACUUCCAGAACUGCUUCAGAAACUGCCAAGAACGAUGGGAGAAGUCUGAUGGAAGCAAGGGGGAGUAUUCUGAGGGGCACUAAUGGCAAUUUUUCUUGUAGUGUAAAAAAUGUUUUAGAAUUUAAACAUUGAAGAUAUGCUUUGAUCACACCUUGUAUAUAGAGACCCUAUUAAUCUUUGUAAUGUGAAUUGUCU